UUGGGCAAUUUACUUUAUACCUA
rnacentral:siRNA from 1 species